rnacentral:misc_RNA from 1 species
GAUGAAGAACGUAGCGAAAUGCGAUAAGUAAUGUGAAUUGCAGAAUUCCGUGAAUCAUCGAAUCUUUGAACGCACAUUGCGCCCCCUGGUAUUCCGGGGGGCAUGCCUGUCCGAGCGUCAUUGCAACCCUCAAGCGCGGCUUGUGUGUUGGGCUUCGUCCCCCCGUGGACGUGCCCGAAAGGCAGUGGCGGCGUCCCGAAUGGUGCCCGAGCGUAUGGGAACUCUCUUCCGCUCGAACCGGCCCAUUCGGCGCUGGUCGAACCCCAAUUUUUUUUUACCGGUUGACCUCGGAUCAGGUAGGGAUACCCGCUGAACUUAAGAAUAUCAAUAAGCGGAGGA